rnacentral:rRNA from 1 species
GUUGAACGCUGGCGGCAGGCCUAACACAUGCAAGUCGAAUGGUAACAGGAAACAGCUUUCUGUUUCGCUGGCGAGUGGCGGGCGAGUGAGUAAUGUCUGGGAAACUUCCUGAUGGAGGGGGAUAACUACAGAAGACGGUAGCUACUACAGCAUAACAUCGCAAGACCAAAGAGGGCGACCUACGGGCCUCUUGCCCUCAGAUGUGCCCAGAUGGGUUGAGCUAGUAGGUGGGGUAGCGGCUCACCUAGCCGACGAUCCCUAGCUGGUCUGCGAGGAUGACCACCCACACGGGAAUUGAGACACGGUCCAGACCCCUACGGGAGGCAGCAGUGGGGAAUAUUGCACAUGGGCCGAAAGCCUGAUGCAGCCAUGCCGCGUGUAGGAAGAAGGCCUUCGGGUUUUAAAGUACUUUCAGCGGGGAGGAAGGGAGUAAAGUUAAUACCUUCGCUCAUUGACGGUACCCGAAGAAGAAGCACCGGCUAACUCCGUG